GUCAUCGCCAUGGUAACAUGCACUGAAACAGAGCACAUCAAAUAAUUAUUCACUUGGAAAAAAAAAUGGGUAUGUAUACUUAUCUCCUACUCUCCGUCUCCAAAAUCUUAGACGCUACAGAAAUCACAGGAAAAUCACUGUUCUUUAUAUAUAAGAAACUCCAUUAAAAACAAACAAACAAACAAACAAAACCACUGUUUUAUAAAACUAUCCCAAGUUACCAGGACUUACUACCCACUCCUACCCACUCUCUAACACAAAACAAA